rnacentral:tRNA from 1 species
CACCUCGUAGCUCAGUUGGUAGAGCAUUGGAUUAGUAAACCAAAGGUCGCGGGUUCAAUUCCCACCGCGGUCA